rnacentral:rRNA from 1 species
UACGUAGGUGGCAAGCGUUGUCCGGAUUUACUGGGCGUAAAGCGCCCGCAGGCGGCCUGUCAAGUUCGAGGUGAAAUCUCCCGGCUUAACUGGGAGGGUGCCUCGAAAACUGGCAGGCUUGAGGCAUGGAGAGGGAUGCAGAAUUCCUGGUGUAGCGGUGAAAUGCGCAGAUAUCAGGAGGAACACCGAUUGCGAAGGCAGCUCGCUGGGACGUCACUGACGCUGAGACGCGAAAGCGUGGGGAGCAAACAGG